GCAAACAGUGCUCACAUUGUAUAAGGGCAUACCUACAACGCGUAGUGAAACACCGAAUGCAGACUUCGGCUAAUCCGUCCUCAAUAAAGCUGACAUAAUUAUACUAAGCUGCCUUUCUACAAAAUCAUUCAGGAAUUCAAAACUUUUCCUUCUCUUCUCUCUCUCAAAGAUUUUUGCAUUCCCCGGCAUCUUCCUACACGACCGGUUCCAGCAUAACGGGGGAUGUAGCCUAUGUUCCAAAGGUUGAAAUAACCUUUAAAAAAGUAAUAUAUACGUCAUAUGGUGAGAGGGAACAGAGGAAACCUGAGGCACUCAAUAAAAAGGGUUUAAACGGGGGAUUGCAACGAUGAAUUACAGGGACGGGACUAUACAUGCACGAUUUCUUGAAGAAAUCCGUUCUUCCAAGUGCAGAGGUGGAAAUCCUUUCCGGAUCCUGUAAGUUCGUUAGUUACACAAUGAGCUCUGCCUCUAAUCUGAUUAUUAAUUGCUUUGGAUAUGUCAUUGAAUAGAACGCAGGUAAAAACCUACGUUUUUUAAACUACUUUUUCGAGAAUAUCCCAGCAUUUGUACAAGACAUACGCUUAGUAACGAUGUUAACCGAAUGUCUUUGACUAUAAAAUGUCGAAUGAUUCAUGAAAAAAAAACAUUUUAUUGACGACGAUUGAUUAGGUAUAUUGCCAUGUUAUUUAAAAUAAUAUGAAAAGUCUGAUUACAUUUUGUCUGCUGCAUUCGGAUCAGUCUUCAUGGAGCCGCUACGAGCCAGUCUUCUUCAAUCCCUGCAAAGCUAGAGCUUGCUGCAGCUGUGUGAUGCUGUCGGGACGGGGCGCAAAUACCCCUCUUUCUCUUUGCCUACCACCGGUUUCAGACCUUUUUGCUUUGCUAGGUGUCCAAACGUGUGUUAAGCUUUUCUUAUUAUUUUCAAUAUUAGGCCAAAUUUGCCGUCGGUCUUUUUAUGAUGAUUAUAAAACGCACACCACGAAUCAAAGUUGCAUACAUCUAGUGAAAAUAUUUUUUAGUAAAUACUAAAUUAUUUAUUGGUUAUAGAUACAGCCCGGAUGGUAGGCUAUUGACUGGUACGAAAUAUUCGCAUCAAUGUAGGCAUGUCAAAUGCAUACAAACAUGAAAACCAAUGGGGCAUGGACAACGGAUGUUUCGAAAUGAUUACUCAUAAAACACAGGGUGGGAUUACUAGUGUUAUUGGAAAUGGUACAGAAAAAUCUACUUAUUUUCAACAACAAAAAAAUACACGUUUCUAAAUCCGAAGAAUUUAGUUCAGAACCAUCUAAACCAUCAAGACUUACAUACCUACGCAACACUAACUUUUUAAUCAAACCCCAAAUUAUUCGACUGUAAAAAGUUGUUCCUAACAUCUUCUUUUCUUUUUUGUGUGGUCUCAUUAAGUGGGCAUCCUGCUAAGUCUGCGGGGUUAUACGGGACCUGUCCAAUCAGUGUAUUUGCACGGCUUGUUAGCGACAGUUAAUGAGGGCGCUCUGCGCAAGGAGAGAAUGGUGCCUCAAUGUUAGAUUUACCUUGUGUCAACUCGUUACUUCUAAUGAAGCCAUUGGAAGCUUCUCAGUGAAUGGAGCCGGGCGGCUGGAACUGCAGGCCCUCUUUCUUCCGGUUCCUAUAAGGAGGGCUUUUGCUGGACUGAACUCCAUGAUGCAUGUAUCAGAUGGUGGGGGUGCACUGAGUCAUUUGGAUUGAACAAGAGAAAAGGGAAGUAAGUGUGUAUAUACGUGCGUGUGCGUGUGUGUGUGCGCGCGCCCGCGCGCGCGUGUGCGUGUGUGUGUGUGUGAAAGAAAUAACCCGGUGUAAUAUCGCAAGCUGCUAUCGUUUAUUUCUUGGUCAAUCGGGUUUGACGUGUCAGUUUGCCACUCCAGAAGUUCACUUAAAAUAUCUCCACGCAUGCGCUCCAUAAGUUGGCUUUUGGCUGGGCCCAUCAACCACACACCAUUGUCUCUCAAUUCAGGUAAAACAGAGUUACUCAAAAGCCUUUCCAAGUCUGCUUCCCCUCAAUAUUCCCGCCCACAGAGGCACCACUUAAAAUUCUAUUAAUAUUUCAAGUAUAUUCUUCGAAAAAAAUGUUGGGACUCAAAGAAGGAAAA